rnacentral:rRNA from 1 species
UACGGAGGGGGCUAGCGUUGUUCGGAAUUACUGGGCGUAAAGCGCACGUAGGCGGCUUCUUAAGUCAGGGGUGAAAUCCUGGAGCUCAACUCCAGAACUGCCUUUGAUACUGAGAAGCUUGAGUCCGGGAGAGGUGAGUGGAACUGCGAGUGUAGAGGUGAAAUUCGUAGAUAUUCGCAAGAACACCAGUGGCGAAGGCGGCUCACUGGCCCGGUACUGACGCUGAGGUGCGAAAGCGUGGGGAGCAAACAGG